AGUGAACGCUGGCGGUAGGCCUAACACAUGCAAGUCGAACGGCAGCACAGUAAGAGCUUGCUCUUACGGGUGGCGAGUGGCGGACGGGUGAGGAAUACAUCGGAAUCUACUUUUUCGUGGGGGAUAACGUAGGGAAACUUACGCUAAUACCGCAUACGACCUACGGGUGAAAGCAGGGGAUCUUCGGACCUUGCGCGAUUGAAUGAGCCGAUGUCGGAUUAGCUAGUUGGCGGGGUAAAGGCCCACCAAGGCGACGAUCCGUAGCUGGUCUGAGAGGAUGAUCGCCCACACUGGAACGUGGCCACGGUCCAUACUCCUACGGUAGGCAGCAGUGGGGAAUAUUGGACAAUGGGCGCAAGCCUGAUCCAGCCAUACCGCGUGGGUGAAGAAGGCGUUCGGGUUGUAAAGCCCUUUUGUUGGGAAAGAAAAGCAGCAGGUUAAUACCCCGCUGUUCUGACGGUACCCAAAGAAUAAGCACCGGCUAACUUCGUG
rnacentral:rRNA from 1 species